UCCGAAUUGGUGUAGUGGCUAACAUUUGACGCUCUCAUGGCUAGUGCCGUCAAGCCCGGGGUUCGAUUCCCCGAUUCGGAG